GAAGCUGAGGUCGACCCGAGCUUUUCUGGGGUCGAUCCGAUUUACUGUUCAUCUGUGCCAUAUGUACCAGGAUGUGCCAGAAUGUUGUCAAAAUGUGCCUGGAUCGACUCCAUCUCUUCUAGGGUCGACUCCUACUCUGUGCCAAGUGUUUCAAAGGCGUGCCACUUCGUUCCAAGGCGUGCCAAAUGUAUCGGGGUCGACUCCAAACUAAUUGGGGUCGACUCUAG
rnacentral:lncRNA from 1 species